GAUGAACGCUGGCGGCGUGCCUAAUACAUGCAAGUAGAACGCUGAAGCUUGGUGCUUGCACCGAGCGGAUGAGUUGCGAACGGGUGAGUAACGCGUAGGUAACCUGCCUGGUAGCGGGGGAUAACUAUUGGAAACGAUAGCUAAUACCGCAUGACAACAGUUAUUGCAUGAUAACUGUUUAAAAGGGGCAACUGCUCCACUACCAGAUGGACCUGCGUUGUAUUAGCUAGUUGGUGAGGUAACGGCUCACCAAGGCGACGAUACAUAGCCGACCUGAGAGGGUGAUCGGCCACACUGGGACUGAGACACGGCCCAGACUCCUACGGGAGGCAGCAGUAGGGAAUCUUCGGCAAUGGACGGAAGUCUGACCGAGCAACGCCGCGUGAGUGAAGAAGGUUUUCGGAUCGUAAAGCUCUGUUGUAAGAGAAGAACGAGUGUGAGAGUGGAAAGUUCACACUGUGACGGUAUCUUACCAG
rnacentral:rRNA from 1 species